AACGAACGCUGGCGGCAGGCCUAACACAUGCAAGUCGAGCGCGCCCUUCGGGGUGAGCGGCGGACGGGUGAGUAACGCGUGGGAACGUGCCCUUCUCUGCGGGAUAGCCUCGGGAAACUGAGAGUAAUACCGCAUACGCCCUUUGGGGGAAAGAUUUAUCGGAGAAGGAUCGGCCCGCGUUGGAUUAGGUAGUUGGUGGGGUAAUGGCCCACCAAGCCGACGAUCCAUAGCUGGUUUGAGAGGAUGAUCAGCCACACUGGGACUGAGACACGGCCCAGACUCCUACGGGAGGCAGCAGUGGGGAAUCUUAGACAAUGGGGGCAACCCUGAUCUAGCCAUGCCGCGUGAGUGAUGAAGGCCUUAGGGUUGUAAAGCUCUUUCAGCUGGGAAGAUAAUGACGGUACCAGCAGAAGAAGCCCCGGCUAACUCCGUG
rnacentral:rRNA from 1 species